CUAAUUUCAUAUAAUUUCAUACGUCUUGGUAUUUUAAACCAAAAUACAAUUAUCAAACAAAGUGAUUUACUUAUCUAACCCUGCCUAACAACGAAAAAGAUCCAAAAUGUGGUGCAUAACUUACAAAACCAAACCGGGGCUAAGCAUAAGGUAAUAUUGACAUUGGGAAACAAAAAUUCACAAUGGCAAUUUAUUGAAUGGCAAACUUUUAACACCUCUACUUGACUCCUACUAUGGACAUGAGAAACUGCAACUUCUGGUUAAGUAGAUUGAGAUCAUCAUCAGAAGAUUCUUUCAGUGGGGAAGGAGGCUCGACACCGACGAAAGCAUAAAGAGCAUUCACUUCGUCCAUGUACGUUCCAAGGGGUGUGGCAUUGUAUCCUAUGAUUUUCUUCAUCGAGACAAUAUUUUCUCUUAUCUUUACCUCGCUUGAUAAUUCCUCAUUGGAAGACACCCUAUAAUCUUUAUGUGGAGCAUUUGCCUCAACUUUGGGUUCAAUAGUCACAGCUGAUAUAGACAAAUCCUCUUCAGAUUCAAUCACAUCAAUCAUUGUUACUGAAAGAAGUUGUUCAGCUUCUUCAGCCUUGGCAAGCUUGCUUGAGACUUCAGAAGCUCCAUACUCUAAAUGAGGAUGAACAGCAGCAGAGUCAAUUUCAUUCAACAAACCAUGAACACUAUUUUCAGCAGAAUCACUUGGUUUGGCAACUUCCAUCAAAAUGUCGAGCUCUUGAACAUGAUCAAUGCUGCCAUUUGUCUCAGCAAAAUCCUCAUCUCUUCUUCCCUCGUCCCGGAUUCUUUUGAGCAAACCCCUAGCUUCUUCCAACUGUUCUUCCUCAUCUCCAAUAUCUCCAUUUCCUUCAAAUUCUACAUUGGUCACUUCUAUGACUGCCCCUUGAUCUCUGCUUCCAAUGUCAGGUUCGUCCUCUUCGUCCCCCUGAACUACUGCCACGUCAUUAUCCAAAUCAUCCAAAAUCUUUGUUGUUUCCAUCUCACGUUCUCCUUCAUCUUCGUAAUCGAUGAUGCCUUCCUUUUCUUCAUCUUCACAUUCUCCUUCAUCUUCGUAGCCAUUUUCCUCCACUAUUUCUUUGUCAACAUGGUCAAGUUCAAGGGGUGGGGGAAUUGGAAGCCAAACACUCAUGAUCGUUUCGGUGCAAGCGUAAGAGACGAGGAAGACUCCAUAGGGAAUUGAGACUACAAAUCCAAAGGCUGACAUGAUAACCAAUGGAGGAAGAACCACAGGAGCAGAGGAUAUGGCUAAACCAGUGAUGAGAAGCUUCUUCCCCACAUUGCAGCCCCUUUGCACAACAGAGCGUAUCUUUUCACUGCUCAGGCCAUCAUCAGAGGAUAGUUGUUCUUCCAUAUUCCAGUCUAUGCUGCAAUUGCCCUCCAUCCUGAUGAAAUCAGGAGGUUCAUUGGCCAUAAUUAAACAAGGUCUUCUUCAGAAAAAUUCCAUGGCAAACAGAGAGAGAGUGAGAGGGGAGAG
rnacentral:misc_RNA from 1 species